rnacentral:rRNA from 1 species
GACAGAGGGUGCGAGCGUUGUUCGGAAUUACUGGGCGUAAAGCGCGUGUAGGCGGCAAUGCAAGUCGGGCGUGAAAUCCCACGGCUCAACCGUGGAAGUGCACUCGAAACUGCAUAGCUAGAGUCCUGGAGAGGAAGGUGGAAUGCUUGGUGUAGAGGUGAAAUUCGUAGAUAUCAAGCGGAACACCGGUGGCGAAGGCGGCCUUCUGGACAGUGACUGACGCUGAGACGCGAAAGCGUGGGGAGCAAACAGG